rnacentral:rRNA from 1 species
GACGAACGCUGGCGGCGUGCUUAACACAUGCAAGUCGAACGGUGAAGGGACCGGUUUUUGCUGGUUCUGGAUGAGUGGCGAACGGGUGAGUAACACGUGAGUAACCUGCCCCCUUCUUCUGGAUAACCGCAUGAAAGUGUGGCUAAUACGGGAUAUUCUGCGCCUGCUGCAUGGUGGGUGUGGGAAAGAUAUUGGUUCGGUGGGGGAUGGGCUCGCGGCCUAUCAGCUUGUUGGUGGGGUGAUGGCCUACCAAGGCGGUGACGGGUAGCCGGCCUGAGAGGGUGGACGGUCACACUGGGACUGAGACACGGCCCAGACUCCUACGGGAGGCAGCAGUGGGGAAUAUUGCACAAUGGGCGCAAGCCUGAUGCAGCGACGCCGCGUGAGGGAUGGAGGCCUUCGGGUUGUAAACCUCUUUCGCCAGUGAAGCAGGCCUGUCCCUUUUGUGGGUGGGUUGACGGUAGCUGGAUAAGAAGCGCCGGCUAACUACGUG